CCAUCUUCGGGAUAAGUAGGGCAUCAUUUCUCCAUUUUUAGUUCCAUCUUCGGGAUAAGUGGUCUCUGUGAUUCGCUACGAAUUGAAAAUCGAUUUGAAAAAAUUAGUUAAAAUCGAUCGCUAUUUGGUGAUGAACGCAGGUUCAGCACUUGUUCUCUCGCACUCGUUUACGGAGCUCUCGGGUGUUUGUGCUUGAAUGACACGUAGCAGCAGCAUUUAUAAAAUUGAAGGGAGGAAAAUUGGAACUGAUUCGGAACUAGUGCAGACUGGAUGAUUUCUGAUAUUCUUUUGCUACCAAGAUGGUAUUGCUUGGGAGCCUGUAGGAUGUGGAGCAAUAUUGUCUGGUGGAGCUUCCACAGUAUUCCCGCAUGGUAUCCGGAAUAUACCCCAUAUCUGGACAACUAAGGUUCUGGAGUGGUGUGAUGAGGUUACAUAUAGUCAUUUACUUCGAAUUGGAGCCAUAAAGGCUCCAACCACGUCCCCAUCCAACACAUCCCUGUUCCAGAUAGCUGAUGAUUUAUUGUAGGAUGGAUGACCCCUCUGGUACCUCAAGCCUUUUUCUUCAGUCUCUUCUCUUUCACAGUCUAUUGUAAAGUUAAAACCAUGUUUCACCUUGCGAACAGGAUGUCAUGCGAAUGAGGUAGCCGGAGGCGUUGUCACAUCCUGUUAGUGGGUUUUAAGAUAUAUUUCCAUUCGCUCAUGGCAACGAAGGAAGAUAAUUAUGAAAGGUGGUGGAGCGAGUUUCUGGUUGUCCUGCCAAGAGAUUGUAACCUUUCCAGAACAGUUGCAUGUGCAUCUAAUUGGCUACUACGAAAAGGCAUACACGGAGUUUACCUGAAAAAGGGCAUACAUAGAACACAGACAUAAUGUGAUGGAUAUGGAGGUAGUCAUUCUUCAAUUGGGCUGUGGGUAUUUGGUGGACGGUCGACAUCAAGUUUCCUAUUUGUGAAAUAAGAAACAUGUUCUGAUAGUGUCUAAUUUCUGAUGAGAGCGAACGGAGAAACUCCUGAUAUUGAUUCCAUGUGGCUUCAAUCAACCUUGGGUCCCCCACCAAACAAAAAAAAAAAGUGCUUUCAUGUGUAAGGUCGGAUGUACCUACGUCACUUGAUUUGGCAGAGUUGCCGAUUUGCAUGACUAGGUGCAAUGGUAAGAGUGUCUUAAACUGAAAAGUUGUAAUUGGAUAUCUUGUCAGAAUCUCUUGCCUGUAACCUGUGUCCUGUCACAGUAAUCUCCUUUCUCUUAACCAAGUUGUCUUUUCUCUUA